rnacentral:rRNA from 1 species
UACGUAGGGGGCAAGCGUUGUCCGGAUUUAUUGGGCGUAAAGAGCGUGUAGGCGGUCAGGUAGGUCCGUUGUGAAAACUCGAGGCUCAACCUCGAGACGCCGAUGGAAACCAUCUGACUAGAGUCCGGAAGAGGAGAGUGGAAUUCCUGGUGUAGCGGUGAAAUGCGCAGAUAUCAGGAAGAACACCGAUGGCGAAGGCAGUGUUCUGGGCCAGUACUGACGCUGAGGAGCGAAAGCGUGGGUAGCAAACAGG